rnacentral:rRNA from 1 species
UACGUAGGGGGCUAGCGUUGUCCGGAAUCAUUGGGCGUAAAGAGCGUGUAGGCGGUCCGGCAAGUCCGCUGUGAAAGUCGGGGGCUCAACCCUCGAAUGCCGGUGGAUACUGUCGGGCUAGAGUGCGGAAGAGGCGAGUGGAAUUCCUGGUGUAGCGGUGAAAUGCGCAGAUAUCAGGAGGAACACCUAUUGCGAAGGCAGCUCGCUGGGACGUAACUGACGCUGAGACGCGAAAGCGUGGGGAGCAAACAGG